GAUGGCUGUUUAAACAUAAACUGAGGGACUUGGAGGAAGACAUACAAGGUUCAGUGAUGUAAAGACUGCUAAAGUUGUCUGAAUCAGUUAAUAACCUUCAGAGCCUUAAGCUUGAAGCUACACUGCCUAGGGAUCACAGAGGUUACCAAACUUCCUGAAAAGAUCUUAGACAAUCAGAUAAGAAAACAGACCAGGCCCCUGAAGGCAGGCAUUGUAUCUGUCUUGCUUACCACUGCAGCCUCAUUUCUUGGGAGUCCAGCAUGUGGGUGGUAUUUGUUGUUGAAUGAAUGAAUAAAUGAAAAAUGCAAAGUG